GGGGGUUUGGCGCAGUGGUUAGCGCGGUUGCUUCGCACUUCUCCGAAUCUGCAAUAGGCCGCGGGUUCAACUCCCGCAACCUCCA